rnacentral:rRNA from 1 species
GAGCGAGGCGGAAGAGCUCAAAUUUAUAAUCUGGCACCUUCGGUGUCCGAGUUGUAAUCUCUAGAAAUGUUUUCCGCGUUGGACCGCACACAAGUCUGUUGGAAUACAGCGGCAUAGUGGUGAGACCCCCGUAUAUGGUGCGGACGCCCAGCGCUUUGUGAUACAUUUUCGAAGAGUCGAGUUGUUUGGGAAUGCAGCUCAAAUUGGGUGGUAAAUUCCAUCUAAAGCUAAAUAUUGGCGAGAACCACGAUUCCGGGAGGGAAAGUGGAAACUUUGGGAAAGAGAGUUAACAGUACGUGAAAUUGUUGGAAGGGAAACGCUUGAAGUCAGACUUGCUUGCCGAGCAAUCGGGUUUGCAGGGCCAGCAUCAGUUUUCCGGGGAUGGAUAAUGGUAGAGAGAAGGUAGCAGUUUCGGCUGUGUUAUAGCUCUCUGGCUGGAUACAUCUUGGGGGGACUGAGGGAACGCAGUGUGGCCUUUUGGCGGGGGGUUUCGAACUCUUUACACUUAGGGUGCUGGGUGGAAUGCUUUAAAC